GGGCUCAUAGCUCAGUUGGUAGAGCACCGCCCUUUUAAGGCGAACGUCGUAGGUUCAAGUCCUACUGGGCUCA
rnacentral:tRNA from 1 species